GUACGUCCUUUAUAUUUCUCCAAUAAUUUUUUUCCUUUUUAAUCUAAAUUGUCAACUUCAAUACAUGUUGAUUUCUUCCUUUAAAUUUCUGAAACUGAAGUAAUUGAUAAGUGGAGAUGAAUCCUUUAGCCAUCCACUAAAUUGAAAAGGAGUUGUCUAAUUGUAUCAUUCCUUGUCUCUUGAUAGAGGGCUUAAGAAGUAAGAAAUUAAUUAUUGUAAUGAAAUGAUAUCCAGAUUUUUCAAUCUUUAUGCUUUCCCAGUUUGAGUGAAAUUGAGGCUCUUCCCCCAAUUAAUGGAAGUAUUUGAAGAGGAAGAUAAACCUCCAUCUGCUAAUAUUGAGUUGAUUGUUUCAGUCCUGCAGCUUAUGAUUUCAUAUUCCCAUGCCUUGUUGCCAUGUCUACUUCUAUCCUUUUGUUGAUAAGUUUUUUUGCUGAAGUUUUAUAUGGACAAUUCGUUCAUCUAUUUACCAAAAUUAUAUAGUUCAAAAGUGCACAAAAUUUCUUUUGAUGCAGGGGUUGACAAAUUUGAAAACAUUACGCUUGAAGUCUCUGCCUGACAUGAGUUGUAUAUGGAAGGGUCUCGUGCUGAGCAAAUUGACUACUUUGGAGGUAACCUAUCUGGAUAAAAAUUAGACAAGUUUGUCCACUAAAACAACUUUGCACGUAAUAAAAAAUGUUUUUUAUACAAAAGUACAUCAAAUAACUUCACAAAAAAAUUAUUAACAUAUAAGAGCAUAAAUUUUGUGUUGAAAAUUAUUAUUACAAUAUCUUUAAAAAUUUAUUAACUUUAUAACUAAAAUAAAAAUAUUAGUUACUAUUUUUAUUUUUAUUUUUUACAUGAAACUAAUUAUUAGGAGUUGUAGUAACCUUUUUUCGCAAAAAUCUAAUUAUUAUUUAACUUAUCUCUAAUUAAGAAAAAAACUGAAACAAUAAUAUGUAAUCUCUAAAAAGUAUGUAAUCCUGUUUUUUCUUCUUUUUUUCCCAUCAUAUAAAUUGUUUUCAUGAGUGAAAAAAUAUAAUAUUGUUCUCUGAUCAGAUGGCCGUCCAUGGGCAGCAAAACGACUUCUUACAAAGAUUAAAAUAUGUAGAAGUGGACGAUUGUGGGGAUGUUCGCGCUCCGUUUCCAGCAAAAUUGCUGCGAGCUUUGAAAAUUCUAAGCAGUGUGCAAAUUGAGGACUGCAAAUCAUUGGAAGAGGUAUUUGAAUUGGGUGAGCCUUAUGAAGGAAGCAGUGAGGAGAAGGAGCUGCCGCUUCCAUCAUCUUUAACCUGGUUACGGCUGUACCAGUUACCUGAGCUCAAAUGCAUAUGGAAAGGGCCUACCAGCCAUGUCAGCCUCCAAAGUCUUGCUUAUCUGUAUUUGAAUUCUCUGGACAAACUGACAUUUAUCUUUACACCGUCCCUCGUUCAGAGUCUACCACAGCUAGAAAGCCUUCACAUAAAUAAAUGCGGUGAAUUGAAGCAUAUUAUCAGAGAAGAGGAUGGUGAAAGGGAAAUAAUUCCAGAGCCUCCUUGCUUCCCAAAAUUAAAAACUAUCAGCAUAAAAGAGUGUGGUAAACUGGAAUAUGUCUUCCCUGUAUCUGUGUCUCCAAGCCUUCUGAACCUGGAAGAGAUGCAGAUUUUUGAAGCUCAUAAUUUAAAGCAAAUAUUUUACAGUGGAGAAGGAGAUGCACUCACCAGAGAUGCCAUCAUCAAGUUCCCUAAGCUAAGAAGAUUGUCUCUUUCAAAUUGCAGCUUCUUUGCUACAAAGAAUUUUGCUGCCCAAUUGCCUUCCUUGCAAAUUCUAGAAAUUGAUGGCCACAAAGAAUUGGGAAAUUUGUUUGCACAGCUCCAAGUACGUCCUUUAUAUUUCUCCAAUAAUUUUUUUCCUUUUUAAUCUAAAUUGUCAACUUCAAUACAUGUUGAUUUCUUCCUUUAAAUUUCUGAAACUGAAGUAAUUGAUAAGUGGAGAUGAAUCCUUUAGCCAUCCACUAAAUUGAAAAGGAGUUGUCUAAUUGUAUCAUUCCUUGUCUCUUGAUAGAGGGCUUGAGAAGUAAGAAAUUAAUUAUUGUAAUGAAAUCCUACCUAGAUUUUUCAAUCUUUAUAUAUGCUUUCCCAGUUUGAGUGAAAUUGAGGCUCUUCCCCCAAUUAAUGGAAGUAUUUGAAGAGGAAGAUAAACCUCCAUCUGCUAAUAUUGAGUUGAUUGUUUCAGUCCUGCAGCUUAUGAUUUCAUAUUCCCAUGCCUACUUCUAUCCUUUUGUUGAUAAGUUUUUUUGCUGAAGUUUAUAUGGACAAUUCGUUCAUCUAUUUACCAAAAUUAUAUAGUUCAAAAGUGCACAAAAUUUCUUUUGAAGCAGGGG
rnacentral:lncRNA from 1 species